UUUUUUUUUUUUUUGAGACGGAGUCUCGCUCUGUCGCCCAAGCCGGACUGCGGACUGCAGUGGCGCAAUCUCGGCUCACUGCAAGCUCCGCUUCCCGGGUUCACGCCAUUCUCCUGCCUCAGCCUCCCGAGUAGCUGGGACUACAGGCGCCCGCCACCGUGCCCGGCUAAUUUUUUGUAUUUUUAGUAGAGACGGGGUUUCACUUUGUUAGCCAGGAUGGUCUCGAUCUCCUGACCUCAUGAUCCACCCGCCUCGGCCUCCCAAAGUGCUGGGAUUACAGGCUUCUAUUUUCAAAAAAAUUAUUUUGUAGGAUAACGUAAAAUAGUAAUGAAAAGAAUUUACAUAGCAUACCUUUUCUGAAAAUGUGUUUUCCUGGUAUGUCACUGAACACAGGACAGAAACAUAAAAUUUAUGACUAAACUGUUAACAUCAUCUCUAAGGAGCUAUUAAAUUUGUCAAGGGUCCCUAAAUCUUUUUUCUUUUUUAAAUACAGAGGUAGUGCUGAAAUGCUAUUGCUAUUAGUUAUAAUGAAAUUUCGUACUAAAGAGUUUCCUUAGGUCUGUUCUCUGACCAGCUUUUCUAGGGCGAGUUAAGCAGCGACAUGGACUGUUCGUACAUCCUUUCUCAUUUUCAUUCUCUCAGAAGAAAUAUUCAAAUUAUUUUAGUCAUCUGAAUAGUAGAAGAAACACUAUUCUAAAAAGUUUUCUGAAGUAAAAGAAAAAUGUCACAAAAACAUUUGAGUUACUUAACUUGCUUUGUCCUAAAGCUAUUGAAUUAAGAAAGUUUCUCAUCUUUUAGAAGUAAAUUAUUUCAGAAUUAUAAAGGUACUGAUCAGGAAAUUAUGCUACUCCCAACACAUGACACCAGGUAAACUCAUUCUCAAUGAGAAGGGUUAAACCAUCAGUCACAGAAGAUUCAUACGCAGUAAAAUCAAUCUGCACAUUAAUCCCAACUCUUCUAAAACCCUCCAAUUUAAACCAGUUUUCCCUGGUGAAUAGCAAAGAGAGUCUCUUUCAGACACAUAAGUUGGGCCCACAAAGUGUUCACUUGUUGAAAGUGCUGGGGCUUUUUUAUUAUUUACUAAGAAGGUCAAGAUAGAAAUGAGCAGUCCUUCUGAGUUUCAGCAUCUUAGAUAAACCUACCUACCUCAUUCCAACAUCUCUCUUCUCCCCUUAUCUGAGAUGAUGCUAAGGGACUUUAGGGUUGGUUUGUUUUCACUCUUGACUUUCAAUCAAAUUUUUAAAAUCUAGGAAAAUGAACACCAUCUACCAUGCCCAAAUAUCCACACUUGCUUUCUUCUCAUGGCCUCUGAUUUCCAGCGUUAACUGUGAGGAAGAGCAACUGGCUGAAGAAGUACAAAUUUGCAUGGCAGAUGUCAGUGGAAACUUGUACUGAUGGUUUAAGCUACUUGGGCUAUGUUUUGAGGUUUUUAAAAUCAAAUUUAUUUUCCAAAGGACAGACGGGAUUUCUGCAGCAGAACUGUCACUACAACUGAAGCCAUCAGAACUUUGACCCUAAUUUCAGAUGGCACAAAUUUAGCCCCACUCACUCACCCGGCUGCCCCUGAUUCGAUCAUUUUGAUGGUUUCAUGCUCCUUGAUUUAGUUCCCAAAGUGAUACAAAAAAUUAAGGGCUUGCCCUCCAUUAAACCUUACCCUUUGUGAAUUAAAAAUACUUCUAAAAACAUAAUCAGAUUUUGUCACAUCUUGGUUUCAAACUCCUCGGUUUUCCACAACAUUUAGGAUAAAAUCCUAAAUCUCUAAUGCUGUUAUCCAGCAUUAUGUUAUUGGCCCUGAUCUACCCUCCUGACUUCUUUGCACCUCUCAAAAUCUUGCUCACACAGCUCUAGGCACACUGGUGGCCUUUGAGUUUUCUGGAAAAGCCAAGCUCGUGCCUGCAACUGUCUCAGGGCCCUCACACAAGCUGUUUCUCAACCUGUAAGCCCUCUGCCUUCACCUGAGUCACCUCUCUUGCUUAAAGUUGGAGGUUUUUCCUUAGCCCCCUGUCUAAAUAAGGUCCUGCUUUAAAUUCACUUAGCAUACUGUUUUUUUUUCCCUCUAAUUUGUGGGAUUUGUAACGUUGAUUUGCUCCACUAGAUUGUAUGCUCCGUGAGAGAGCAAGGGCCAUAUGUAUCACGUCAACCAUUGCCCAUCUAGCAUCUGGCACAGUGCCAGGCAUAUAGUAGGUGUCCAAAAAAUAUUGGAAUGAAUGAAAUUCUCGAGAAGUUCUCUCACUUUAGGGCCUUGGGAUCGAGGGCAGGAGUGUGCCUGUGACCAGCUGUCAUUAGUUCUAUUGACUACCUGUGGGAAAGCUGGUCAAGUGGCCACUUGCUCACCUCAAGACAAUGAAUGAAGCUUUCCUGGAUGCUAAGUGACUGCCACCUUGUGAGCUAAGCCUGGCAAGACCUUUGGGCUACACUUCCCUCCUCACUGUGAGCUGUGGCUUGGGCAGGCUCAAAGGGGCCCACUCACUCUGCAGAUGUGCCUCAGGGACAUGGAUGACUCUGCCAGCUGCACUUGAGGGCAAAAUAAUCAUUUACAGCUUCCCAGGUAAGGCUAACACUUACUCAACUGCAGUAACUAGAUGCCCCCAAUUUAAUAAAAAUUAGUUAAGAAGAAAAAAAAGCCUAGUUUUUUUCCUUUUCUCAAUUUGUCACCUUAUGUGAUAAAUCUUUAGUUCCAGAAAUAGCCCAGCAAAACAAAUAACUUAAUAUUGCCAACUUGUACACUUCAAAAAAGUCUAUUGAUAAGUGUAAAAAGUCAGAAUUCUUAUAUCUAAAGAAUAAUAAAGUAUCACAAUUAGUUUUCUAAUCAGAGAAUAGAAGGCAAAAUGGCCAGUAGGAAGACAAACUGGGUUUUUGAAAGACAUACUUUUAAAUUUGCCUGUCUACUAUGGGGGUUUAGGUGAGAGAAAAAAAGUAAAUUAAAAAGAAAAGAAAAAAAGAGCAUAUUUGUUUUCUUAGAGGAAAACAAACAAAUACAAAUGACAGUUAAAACCAAGAAACAACCUACAAUUUAGGCUGUCGCUUUCCAAAAAGUAUUCUAAUGUUUGAAGAAGAAAUUGUGGAUGUGGUGUGAGUCUCUCUCCAAUCCAAAUGCUGUCCCUCUAGGAAAUAUUUGCUGUUUUAUAUUACAGCAUCAUUACUGUGAUUCCCACAUUAAAUAACUACUAAAGUUUCAGUACUCCAGGCACUUGGUUGCCUGUCAAGGUGAUAAAUUAAUUCUGAAUCUGGGUCAAGAGUACAUAGAGUACAGGUCUGGCCCUGCUGAACCUAGAAAGCCCGUGUGGACUCUUCAUUUAGCAUUAGUCACCAUAAUCUAAGUUUGAUGGCUAUAUCUGUGUAGGGAGUUUGUUCUUCCCAGCUGGUGAGUGGAAUGAGGCCAGUAUGCCUUCUGUCCAGAUAAAUGACAAAUGACGAUCCAGUCUGGUAUGCAUGCCUGCCCUGCCCAUGUUAUUUCUUUCCUCAUCUCAAGGCUACACCUCUUGGACAUACACAUUGGAGGAAACAGAUGUCUGCUGUAAAAUUAACAAGAGCACUUCUACAUCCAGACAGUGAUGAAUAAACUCAAAGGAAAGGAAAAUCAUUUGGCAACCGGAAGGUGUGGGAGGAUAGCUGUAAAUGAAACUGACGGCAAAAAACAGAGCAGAGAAGUUUAAAGAAAAAAAAUAACAGCAUUCCUGGUGAUGCCCCAUUGGGCCAAUGAAACAAACACAUUCUGAAGCCUUUCCUAACCAGGAGCCAACCAAUCUCAUCACUGUGAAGCCAGAAAACCCUAUCUAUUGAAGAUGACUGCUUUCUUCUACUGUAGCUGGCAAUUUUAUGAAAUGAAGAAAAUUUGCUCUAGUUGCAAGUGACACACACCUCUUAAAUGUCUGCUAUCAAUUAAAAGUAAAAUACUGGUUACUUGCAACUAUCAAUUAGAUACAAUGCACUCCAGGAGAUCAGGAGCCUUGGCAUUCAGACAUAGGAGCAUUUUUUUGGCUUUGCCAUUUACUUGCAAUGUGACCUUGAUGAGAGAGAAGUUGAUGCUCAGCGAGGUGAAGUAAUUUGCCCAGGGUUAAGAUUCAAAUGCAAGUCUGGGGACCCUGAAGUCUGCUUCUUUUCACUGUGCUGCGUAGUGGCCUUAGCCUUUCCUUUCUAACAGAGAAGCCAAGACAGCAUACCUGUGUCUGAGUGCCCCAGUGGUGUGCACAUCUAUUACCUCAGGAAGAAAGAAUGUCUGAGGAGACGAAAUUUGCAAACAGUUACAAAGGACUGCACACACAAAUAUGAAUAAAGCCUCUUGAACACCAGA